rnacentral:rRNA from 1 species
CUUGAACGCUGGCGGCAGGCCUAACACAUGCAAGUCGAGCGGAGCGGCGGACGGGUGAGUACUGCCUAGGAAUCUGCCUGGUCGUGGGGGAUCACGUCCGGCAACGGGCGCUAAUACCGCAUACUAUCAGAUGAGCCUAGGUCGGAUUAGCUAGUUGGUGGGGUAAAGGCCUACCAAGGCGACGAUCCGUAACUGGUCUGAGAGGAUGAUCAGUCACACUGGAACGGAGACACGGUCCAGACUCCUACGGGAGGCAGCAGUGGGGAAUAUUGGACAAUGGGCGAAAGCCUGAUCCAGCAAUGCCGCGUGUGUGAAGAAGGUAGUCGGAUUGUAAAGCACUGUAAGUUGGGAAGCGUUACCAACAGAAUAAGCACCGGCUAACUUCGGGCCAGCAGCCGCGGUAAUUC